AGCGGCGAACGGGUGAGUAACACGUAGGUGAUCUGCCCAUCAGACGGGGACAACGAUUGGAAACGAUCGCUAAUACCGGAUAGGACGAAAGUUUAAAGGUGCUUCUGGCACCGCUGAUGGAUGAGCCUGCGGCGCAUUAGCUAGUUGGUAGGGUAAAGGCCUACCAAGGCGACGAUGCGUAGCCGACCUGAGAGGGUGAACGGCCACACUGGGACUGAGGCACGGCCCAGACUCCUACGGGAGGCAGCAGUAGGGAAUCUUCGGCAAUGGGCGAAAGCCUGACCGAGCAACGCCGCGUGAAUGAUGAAGGCCUUCGGGUUGUAAAAUUCUGUUAUAAGGGAAGAACGACUUUAGUAGGAAAUGGCUAGAGUGUGACGGUACCUUAUGAGAAAGCCACGGCUAACUACGUGCCAGCAGCCGCGGUAAUACGUAGGUGGCGAGCGUUAUCCGGGAUUAUUGGGCGUAAAGAGCGCGCAGGUGGUUGAUUAAGUCUGAUGUGAAAGCCCACGGCUUAACCGUGGAGGGUCAUUGGAAACUGGUCGACUUGAGUGCAGAAGAGGGAAGUGGAAUUCCAUGUGUAGCGGUGAAAUGCGUAGAGAUAUGGAGGAACACCAGUGGCGAAGGCGGCUUCCUGGUCUGUAACUGACACUGAGGCGCGAAAGCGUGGGGAGCAAACAGGAUUAGAUACCCUGGUAGUCCACGCCGUAAACGAUGAGUGCUAAGUGU
rnacentral:rRNA from 1 species